GCCCUCGCUAAAUAAAUUAUUUAAUUAGAUGUUAGACUUAAGUAAUCGAAUUUGAGGCAAGAACCGCCUUUAUACUUAAAAAUGUUUUACUAAAAUCAUACUGCUAUUGGUAUAAAGACAAUGUUCACUACUGUAUAUGUGUGUGUGUAUAUAGAUAGAUAUAAAUUACACACACGUCAACAUGGUUCCCAAUAAUUUAUUUAAAACAUAACACAGGAACCCCCUAAAUUCUUAUUGACCUCAUUUCAAUAUACUGUUUACAGUUUGACAGAAUUGUAUAAUUUAAUAUUUCUCUUGUACUGUAGUUUAUAUUUAUUUACAGAUUUUUGUACUGUGUGAUUUGAUUUUUUUUUUUUGUUCUUGCUAUGAUCAAUGUCUUAUGUAGUAGAGCACUUAUGAUCACAUUUUUUUUGUUUCGAUUGCACUACAUAAUUUUUUUUGUUUUUAAUGGAGUUCUGAUUUUGACUGGACUAAAUAAAAUGUCUUAAUGUAUGUGAUAAAUACUUAAAUUUUGAAAAUCCAUGUGGUUCAUUUAAUUUUUAAAUUUAUUUUUUUUGGCAUUGUAUGUUGAAAGCGCUGAUUCUGUCGUUGUGCAUGUGUUAAAAAAAAAAUAAUUAAUGGUUCCAUUGUAUUAUUUGCCCAUGUCAUUUAAAAGACAACAAAAAAAAAAUACAUUCCCAGCUGUAAUGUUGUGUGUGGUAGUUCUCACUGGAUGCUAGACUUUUCAAAACCACUAUUCUUCUAAUAAAUUUGUUGUGAAAAUUUU